rnacentral:lncRNA from 1 species
GCCAUUAGUAUAUUGGAAGGCAGUCAUAGGAACAGAAACUUCUAUCUAUCAUGUUGACUCUUUGGAAUUUCAGUGUCAUACAUUCUCUUAGCCUAAGCAGUAUUUUUACAUAACAUCUCGAGAGCUGCUUAUUGAAGUCCAGGAUGUUAACCAUGGACAUGAGGCUAAACAGCCUAGGAGCAAAGUGUCCUAAUUUAUUUGUAAAUGCUUUCAAAUGUUGUGGUAGAAGUGCUCCCUAAAGUUAGAAGAGGUUGGGGGCAGGGAGACAGGGCAGGUUGGGUUCUAUUUUGAGACCCGCAGAAGAGGAAGUGAGAUGAGUUUGGAAUGUUCUGUGCCCAGCUCCUCCUAUCACCUGCUGGGGAAAGCUGGAAAAGAGGAAAUGUCCCUGGUGAACCAGGAGUGACUGUCAAGGUGAAAACCUGCACAGGGGAAAGGACAUGGAAAUAAUGGCUCAUGGAGAGGAUUUGGUUUUUGCAAGUUUCCUGAAGAAAAGAAAAGAUAAAAUGAAAUUUUUGUGGGUGCAAUACUGGUUCCAACUUCAAAAUACUACCUUCUCUUUCUUUCUGAAGAAGGGUGGAGAUGCAGCUUGCCUCCGAGGACAAUACCACAUGCACACAGCUGCAGAGACUCCCAAACUUCGUGCUAUGUGGAUUGAAACUUUAUGGAAAUCCAUGCAGCUUAUCGGGCCAUACCUCAGCCAGGCUGCCUACGGAAGGAGUGACUUUCCAAGGCCAUCUGGAGAAGCGUUACCUGGGACUGCACUUGGUGAGGAAGAACUAAGCAAAAGCCAGUCAUCUGCCAAGGAGAACUUUCCCUCUCCAGCCAAGACCAUGAAUAGCUUAAUCCCAGAAGAGAUGUUGGAAAUCAGACCCUACCAUGCUGUGCCAAAUGCAGCCUUCAAUAUUUAUGAUGUCCCAAGAUCCUGGAGGAGCAACAGGCCAGCUGAAAAUAAUCUGGGCAAGUAUAUGUAUACUUGGGGUUCCAGGAUUGGAGUCGUGGCGGGGGGAAGAGGUUAUGUGGGUGUGCAAAGCAAAGAGAGUGUUCUUAGUCAAACAAUAUUCCUUGAACGUCCGUAG